AGAGCUAUCUGUCAAAAUAUCAUCCAUCAAAAUGAGAACUGUAAAUUGCUGGCCUUGUCAAACACAGAGUUCUUCUCAAAUUAUGUUAGAUAAGAGUAGAUAGGUCAUGUUUCAGGGUUAUGGGGCAGCAAAGAAUACAUUUAGAAAAUCUUACUACAGGAUCUCACUAUGUAGGUUUGUUUUCCUUUUUUGUUCUUUUUAUAAAGUGUGCUUGUGUUACACAUUGAAGCGUAUAGAACUGUGCAUGCAUUACGUAAGGGAUCACCCAAGUUAGCUAUUCUAUUAGAAAUAUUACCUCUCUGAACUCACUUCCUCAUUUAUAAAAUAGGGUAAUAAUUAUGACUUCAUAGAGUUGUAAGAAUUAAAUAAGCAAAUAUACAUAAAGUGCUUAGUAUGGUACAUGGAUUAUAGUAAUUACUCGGCAUUCGUGAUGACGCCGAUAGUGGUAGUGGUGGUGGUGCUGCUGAUACUUCAGUCAACCCUGCUAUUAUUGAUUCAACUGGCAAAGGCCACAGUAUCUCACUGAAAAAAAAAUAUUCACAGUUAAAUUUCUACAUUGGAGAUAUGAAAUGAAUGGAAUUAAUAACUUUGGGCAACAGACCUCAGCUAUUCUAGCAAAUUGAAACCCCUGUCCCCAUGCCAUCAUCCCUUCCUCACAGGAAAAUAAGCCCCAGGAUUUCUUCUAGCUUUUUGGAACUGAACAGAUCUCACAAAUGCAGAGUUGAGAAAUGCAUCAAUAUUCCAG
rnacentral:lncRNA from 1 species